GCUGGGCGCUGUGGUGCUUGCCUGCAAUCCCAGAGACUCAGGAGGCUGAGGCAGGAGGAUCAUGUGUUCAAAGCCAACCUUGGCAACUUAACGAGGCCCUAAGCAACUCAGCAAGACCCUGUCUCUA
rnacentral:sRNA from 1 species